UUCUUCAUCCUGCUCUAUCAACUUAUUGUCAUAUAUAAUUUUGCAAAAUGCAGUCCAUUAGAAAGUAUUCUGAUGUAAAAUUGGAAAAGGUUGUCAGAACUUACCUAUAUGUAAAAAAUCUCUAUAUGUAGUCCAGUAUUUUCUUAAUGUGGGCUUUGAAUGCUAACAAAAUUCUUGCUUAUUAAAAAAGAAAAAAGAUGGCCCAUCUGCUUUGACAUGCAUCGUGCCUUUGAUGUGUCAAUAUUUUCUCAUCUGACUCUGCUCGCCAAACACACGAUUUAUGAGAACAUUGAUAUUCAAAGAACUUGAGAAUUGUUUUAGGAUGAUACUAGCUUGGUGAAUAAUUGCUCUUUGAAGUUUUAUUGGCCAUAUUCAUGACGCCUUUUUCUUUUUCUUUCUAUUACCUUUUUUUGUUGGCAGAGUUGGUGGGUUCACAUUGUUGUUCAUACUAUGCACCCAGAGUUGCAUGGUUUGAGUGGUGAGACUAUUAUUUCUAUUGAGGUGUCUAAAAUCAGGUGAACUAACAAAUGAUGAAGUUUCAGCAUAACUUAUUUGCCUGAUUGAAGAAGAAUUGUCUGCAACCCGUGGAACUCCAAGAAGGUUCAUUCAUUUGUUUGGUCUGAUUUAUUCUCAUGUUAUCUGAUAUAAGCUGUUUCCAUUUAAAGAAGCAAAUGUUUGUACCGCUUACAUGUGAAGAUAAGCGUUCUUACCUUGGAACUUGGUAUAUUACACAAAAACAAAGGAAUUUGCUACAUUAUUCUUCAGUUCUGUGGUCACUGUGCUUAUGUCGUCCCCUUUUUCAGUGCUUUCUCCUCGGACUAUUCAGGGAAAGCAAGGCAAGGAAACCUUGAUAUACCCAUUAGACUAAAUUUAUGGAGAAGGAUGUCGAGGAGUGUUUAAUUUUGUGUAUGGAUUUCAACCCCUCUAAUGCUCUUCUGAAGUUACAUUCCAGUGUUGAACCUAGGAUGGAUGUCUCUUGUCAGCUGUAGACCCUUGACUCACUAUCUGAUGAUUUUUUUUUAACAUUUGGAUCAUUUCUCGAUUUGUGAGGGUCAUCCUUGCGCCAGGGCCAUGCUAAUCUUCUCUGUAUCAUUCAGACAUAUGAUGAUUAUACGUUUUGUAAGGCUUUAAUAAUUUUUAUGUAUUAGGCCUCACAGUGUCACUGGAAAAAAGAAUGAAAAUAUUUUUGACGAACAUUUGCCCAA